CUACGGGGUGCUCCAGUGGGGAAUAUUGCACAAUGGAGGAAACUCUGAUGCAGCAACGCCGCGUGGAGGAUGACACUUUUCGGAGCGUAAACUCCUUUUAUAUAGGAAGAUAAUGACGGUACUAUAUGAAUAAGCACCGGCUAACUCCGUACCAGCAGCCGCGGUAAUACGGAGGGUGCAAGCGUUACUCGGAAUCACUGGGCGUAACGAGCGUGUAGGCGGGUUAAUAAGUCAGAAGUGAAAUCCUAUGGCUCAACCAUAGAACUGCUUUUGAAACUGUUAACCUAGAGUGUGGGAGAGGUAGAUGGAAUUUCUGGUGUAGGGGUAAAAUCCGUAGAGAUCAGAAGGAAUACCGAUUGCGAAGGCGAUCUACUGGAACAUAACUGACGCUGAGACGCGAAAGCGUGGGGAGCAAACAGGAUUAGAUACCCGUGUAGUC
rnacentral:rRNA from 1 species